GGACUUGGCUCAGUGGUAGAGCAACUGCUUUGCAUGCAGAAGGUCCCAGGCUCAAUCCCCAGGCAGGGCUG